AACAAACGCUGGCGGCGUGUCUUAAGCAUGCAAGUUGAGCGGCAAGGAGGAGAGAUCCUCCCUAGAGCAGCGGACUGGUGAGUAACGCGUGGGUAAUCUAUCUUAGGCAUGGGGAUAGUCACUAGAAAUAGUGGGUAAUACCGAAUAAGUUCCAUAAGGGGAGGACUUAUGGAAGAAAGGUGCUACGGCACUGGCCUUAGGUGAGCUCGCGUCCCAUUAGCUAGUUGGUGAGGUAAAGGCCCACCAAGGCGAUGAUGGGUAGCCGGCCUGAGAGGGUGUACGGCCACACUGGGACUGAGAUACGGCCCAGACUCCUACGGGAGGCAGCAGCUAAGAAUAUUCCGCAAUGGACGGAAGUCUGACGGAGCGACGCCGCGUGGAUGAAGAAGGCCGAAAGGUUGUAAAGUUCUUUUGCUAGGGGAGAAUAAGUGUGGGAGGGAAUGCCUGCACGAUGACAAGGACUAGCGAAUAAGUCCCGGCCAACUACGUGCCAGCACG
rnacentral:rRNA from 1 species